UUUUUAUUGUGUAGGUGGUGUUCUUUGCUUGUACGGUCUUUAUGUACUUUGAGAAAAGGUUGUGCGGUGUUGUUAAGAGGUUUCAUUUUAGUCCGUUAUACUCGCACCAUAUUCUUACAGAUUAUAGGAAACGUCCACAGAAUCGCCAUGUAUUCACGCUUCAUAACUAUAACACUUAUUUGCGUUCCGAUCAUUUUGGACUUGAAGAAUUACCCACGGCGGACUUUUUGUUUCUGCCAUUUGUCCACGAUGAUCAUUGGUGGUGUUAUUCAGUGAAAUUGAG